CAAAUCUGCUUAGCCUCAUUCUUCUGUCCUAGUUCAUUCCCUUCCAGGUAGCGCCCCUUCGAGACCCUGGAAUAACUGAUUGCAGGGUGGGUUACAAACCCCUAGACUGAGUAACCCACCCAACGCAAUCGACAACGCUUGUAUCUUUAACAGCUAAGAGGUUCCCAUAGUGCUUAUCUGUGAGCACAAAGAUCUCCAUGCCUCCCACAGUGGGUCACCGGACUCUGUGACAGGAAAAAGAAGAGAAAAACUGACUGGCCUACAAAAAGAUACUAUGUGCUUAGAAACAGCUACAAGGAAACCAUUCCCAGGAGGGAUUGUGGCUGCUUAUCUUACAUUCCUUUUCUUGGUUUUGUUUAACUCCCUAAACAACGCCCCCUCUUAUAUCUCUAAAACUUUUGCGAAAGGUUACGUUUCAUCUCAGGAUUUGUAAGACUUUCUGUAGUUUAGGAUUUGUCAAUUCAUUGGAUGUGGUUUUAAAAAAUCUGUAAAAUUGCGUUAGAAGGGCUGACUGUAAGGAAAUCUACACAGGUAAUCUUAUUUUGCUACAGAAUGCCUGCAUGUAACUUGGAUCUUGCUUGUGAAAGUAGUUUUUGUUUGUUUGUAAAAAGGGGUGCGCACCUAAUGGGUUCACCUUGGAAUAGGACUAAGGAGCACCUGGGUUGCCGCCAUCUCAGAUGAUGACCUAGCAACUAUAACAAAAAUCUGUAUUGCCGUGUUUUCAGAUACUGAUAGGGUCAUUUAAGGUAACAGUCCCAAGUUUUAGGCUUUUACCUAUCACAUUGUUUCUAACCAAAAAUUGUUUUAUUUGAGAUGCUGUUUUUGUUCAUUAGUAGCUGUUACUGUAAAUACUUAAAAAAAUAUAUAUAUCAAGCCCAUCAUACAUGAAAGCAAGAAAUACCACUUAGAUGCUUUCUGUUAUGGUAAAAUGCUGCAGGUCCCCAAGUGGCAGCAGUGGUCAGUGGGCCAUGAAGGCAGCUGGUCCCAGGUAACCCUCUCAUAGCUCUGUUUUUUUCCUGAUACAUCUGUGGCGGUUUGAAUGCAUUAUUGGAGGUGUGAGCUUGUUGUUGGAAGAAGUGUAUAACAGCGGUGGGGUGGGGUUUUGAGAUUUCAGAUCAAUCCAGACCCAAGUAUCAUUCUCUAUUCCUGCUGCCUGCCGAUCUGGAUGUAGUAGUCUCUGCUCCUUUUCCAGCACCAUGCCUGCCUGCGUGCUUCCUGCCACGAUGAUAAUGAACUAAACCUCUGAACUAUACGCCAGACCCAAUUAAAUGUUUUCCUGUAUAAGAGAUGCCGUGGGUGGUCAUGGUGUCUCUUGAGAGCAAUAGAGCCCUAACUAAGACAGUCUGCAAAAAGACCUUUCACCCUUUCACACCAGGCCAGACACAAUUCUUUAGGACAGUCUUCUAUUUUCUGUUUUCCCUUCUUUUGAUGCUCUGUAGUGGUCUGCCACUUCUGCUAGCUCAUUUCAAUUUAUUCCUGGCAAUGGGACCAGUCACUGCCACCGUGAGUCAACUCUAUGCCUACUUCCUCUCGGUGGCCACUGUGUUCCUCCCACCUCUUUUCUUCCCUAUCCCUCAUCCUUCCCAGAAAAUCGCCCAGUCUGUCCCUGAGUCAUCUGCUCACAGAGACAAUUAUUUUCCAAGUCUCCUCAGCAAUCGAGGACAAUGGCCUGAUCCAUCACAGCUAAUCCAGAGUUUCCCUCUGCUACAUGACUGGAGGAUCCCCCUCUUUAGGGACCUACAGCUACCCCUUCCAACAAAGACCCUCCUCAGGAGAAAGCAGCUGGAACACCCUUGCCCUGCACUUUUUAUAGUUUCUGAGGCCUUGUGGUCCACUGCACGAGUGACAAAAGUCCCCCACCCCUCACUGUGAAAAGCAUGGCCCCGCCUGUGGUCAGACCAAGCCUCUUUCUGCCAUCUGUGUCUCUGCAGCUGCUUGAACAACCUACACCUGCAGCAGGUGCUCCUUGAGGGUAUGUCAAAAAACCUGUCAGAUGGAAUGUCUUAGGGAAGAGCAGAGCCAGGGACUGUACCCAGAGACCAGGGAUUCCCGAGGGGCACACGGGAACAUUGGUUCUAUCCUAUGCUUAAGAGAGUGACCCCAGGCUCAAAUCCCAUGGCACGGUUUAUUUCUGCCAGCCGUAUUACUCUUGG